UUCUAAGAUAAUCAAAUGUUUCAAAACAGAUGCACCCAAGGGAUAGAUCGAGGCAAAAUAUUUAAACAUUUACUAACAUAAAGAGCCACAAAAAACGUCUGGGCAUCGUAAAUUUUAUCCCCAGAAUCCAGACUGUGUACUGUAUUCAAAUUCCAAAAGGCCAGAAGACAGAAGCGGAUGAGGAAAUAAAAGAUAAUAAGUUUCCGGACUUCCGGUUUUCUUGAUUCUAGGCUGGUUUCGUACUGAAAUCGCAUAUUGAAUUAUGUCGAAUGGCAAAUCGCCCGCACCCAGGCAAAAAAUCUUUGUCAAAUGCCUGUCUGUGGGGAUGGAAUUCAUGAUCAAAUCCCCACCCAUUGCCCGCACCCUUACCCCCCAAAUUGAUAGGUGCAUUAGUCGGAUGUUGUCCGAUGUCCGACAGUAAUUUGCAGCCCUGCAGACCUAUAUUUAAACCACGGCAUUCAAAUUAUGGAGGAUUCGACCAAAGUGACCUGAUUAUGUCAAUUCGUGAUUCCCCUUAUUACGUUUUCAUAGUGCUUUGCAUUGUGGUUAUAGUGGUAUCACUGAUAUUCAAGAUGGCUUAUUUUUUUUUGUCCUGAUGCGUGAAAGAACUUUUAAAAAAAGCUAGGGUCUGGUGCGCCGUGCGCGAUAGCCAAC